rnacentral:ncRNA from 1 species
CUGAUGACCGCGUUCGGGUCACUUGCGGACUGCAACACCCGAUCUCACUCGGCGUGCCGAAAGAAAUGGAGGUCGCCGAGGGGGAGCGCGUCACCGUCAG